GUACAUCAAGGCUUAAUGAAACGGCAGAGGAAAGCUGUUCAGCUCAUGGCAACAAGGAUGUAAGAGAGAGAGAGAGAGAGAGAGAGAGAGAGAGAGAGAGAGAGAGAGAGAGAGAGAGGAGCCAGAAUAUAGUGAAGAGACAAAAUAUAAUCUCCAAGGGUAGAUCCCCAGUGAACAACUGUUUUCAGCCAAGCCCCCACCUGCCUACAGGUACUACCCAGAAAAACUUUCACUCUGGCUUAUUCCUGCUAUGUGAAAAAGAAGGGCAACUCUGCUGAUAUGUACAUGGAACUAAUGACAAACUUUUAAGAAGCAGCGACAGAACAUAUUCCUGUAUUUGCAUGAAUGAAAAUUCUUGGCAUUA